rnacentral:tRNA from 1 species
GCGGGUGUGGCGAAACUGGUAGACGCGCUAGGCUUAGAACCUAGUGUCUCAGGCAUGCAGGUUCGAGUCCUGUCACCCGCACCA